rnacentral:rRNA from 1 species
AGUUUGAUCCUGGCUCAGGAUGAACGCUAGCUACAGGCUUAACACAUGCAAGUCGAGGGGCAGCAUCAUCAAAGCUUGCUUUGAUGGAUGGCGACCGGCGCACGGGUGAGUAACACGUAUCCAACCUGCCGACAACACUGGGAUAGCCUUUCGAAAGAAAGAUUAAUACCGGAUGGCAUAAUUAUUCCGCAUGGGAUUAUUAUUAAAGAAUUUCGGUUGUCGAUGGGGAUGCGUUCCAUUAGGCAGUUGGCGGGGUAACGGCCCACCAAACCAACGAUGGAUAGGGGUUCUGAGAGGAAGGUCCCCCACAUUGGAACUGAGACACGGUCCAAACUCCUACGGGAGGCAGCAGUGAGGAAUAUUGGUCAAUGGACGAGAGUCUGAACCAGCCAAGUAGCGUGAAGGAUGACUGCCCUAUGGGUUGUAAACUUCUUUUAUACGGGAAUAAAGUUAGCCACGUGUGGCUUUUUGUAUGUACCGUAUGAAUAAGGAUCGGCUAACUCCGUGCCAGCAGCCGCGGUAAUACGGAGGAUCCGAGCGUUAUCCGGAUUUAUUGGGUUUAAAGGGAGCGUAGGCGGGUUGUUAAGUCAGUUGUGAAAGUUUGCGGCUCAACCGUAAAAUUGCAGUUGAUACUGGCGACCUUGAGUGCAACAGAGGUAGGCGGAAUUCGUGGUGUAGCGGUGAAAUGCUUAGAUAUCACGAAGAACUCCGAUUGCGAAGGCAGCUUACUGGAUUGUAACUGACGCUGAUGCUCGAAAGUGUGGGUAUCAAACAGGAUUAGAUACCCUGGUAGUCCACACAGUAAACGAUGAAUACUCGCUGUUGGCGAUAUACAGUCAGCGGCCAAGCGAAAGCAUUAAGUAUUCCACCUGGGGAGUACGCCGGCAACGGUGAAACUCAAAGGAAUUGACGGGGGCCCGCACAAGCGGAGGAACAUGUGGUUUAAUUCGAUGAUACGCGAGGAACCUUACCCGGGCUUAAAUUGCAACUGACUGAACCGGAAACGGUUCUUUCUUCGGACAGUUGUGAAGGUGCUGCAUGGUUGUCGUCAGCUCGUGCCGUGAGGUGUCGGCUUAAGUGCCAUAACGAGCGCAACCCUUAUCGAUAGUUACUAGCAGGUCAUGCUGAGGACUCUAUUGAGACUGCCGUCGUAAGAUGUGAGGAAGGUGG